CACCCCCCCCCCCCCCCCCCCACCUCUUUCAUCUCCAGCAGUCGUCCUCUUCUUUGCAUCCAUAUACCCAUCAAAACAAGAAGACGAUGAGGAGGAAGAAGAGGCUCUUGCCGAGUCUUCUCAAGUGCCAUGGUCAUCAUCGGGGAUCGGCCCGGCCGGUUGUCUGGCCUCUCCGGUUGACCUUUGCCAGGAAGAUGGGUUGCACGGCCCGUCGGUCGGGCUGUACAGCCAGCAGCAGGGCGGCCUUCCGGCUUCCGAUCCAUCCAUCAGGGUCCUCUAUGGUGGAUCAAAACCCAACAAGAAGGCCUCAGGGAGAUUUAUCGUUGGGCAAACCGAGACGAAGUCCCGAACCUAAACCCUACUCAGAAGCCAGCCAAUGCCAUCGGUGGCGGCGGCGGGUGCCAUGGCCGUGGCGGCCGCGGCGGCUGGGUUCACGGCCGCGGAGUGGGAGGCGGUGACCGGGUCCGUGGCCCUGGAGGCGGUGACCGGGUCCGCGGUCGUGGAGGCGGUCACCUGGUCCGCGGCCGCGGAUUUGGGGCUCAAAGUACUGGCGGCUGGGGCCGCGUCCAUGGUCGCUGCCACGGUCAAGGAGUGGGGGACGUCUAAUGCUGCCGGGCCCAUGGCCGCGAAGUUGGCCGUGGCGGCCAGGGCCGCGGGUGCUGGUCCUGUGGCGCGCGAGUGGGAGGCGGCGCCGCGGAAGACUUUGGUUGUGCGGAAGCCAGGCUUCCGACUCCCCACCGCUUGCCCGAUGUGCCUAACCGUACUUCUCUACCUCAGAAUGGCUGAUGUUCCCUUCGACCUCGAAGUGGACACCUGCAACCCAAACGCAGAGCAAAUACCGUAUGUUGAAUUUGGAGAUUGUGUGGCUUUGAACAAUGAGGGCGGAGGGGUGAUUCAAUAUCUUAGGGAUACCAGCAUUCUUGACUUAAACUCCAUGCAGCCAACUGAUUACACAAUCAGCCUCUGUUGAGCGCACAAAGGUCAUGGUUUCGACCUGGCUUGCUGAUGCCCUGCAGUAUGAACUGUGGGUAGUUAGUGAUGGAAGCAUUGCAAAUGAUAUCUACUUCUCUGAUAUCGCUUGGCCAAUUCGGAAGAUUCUUCACUGGAAGGGGCUAAGAGAUGAAAAACGUGAUCUAUGUUCGAGGUUGAAUAGGUCAACUGCUGAUUUGGGACAAGAGAUUUAUUGGAGGGCAGAGGCUGUUUAUGAUAUGUUGUCUGAAACAUUAACUAAGGAUGAAGUGUACCUCUUUGGGAACAGUCCUAAAGAUGUAGAUGCUCUGGUUUUGGGACACGCUCUUUUUGUGCUCAACGUGUUGCCUGAGACAUCUGUGUUGAGGGCUACACUACAGAAGCAUGCUAGGCUGGUAAAAUAUGCUGAACAUCAUUUGUUCGUCUUGCUGGGGGUGCCAUCCGGAAGUUUCUCAAGAACCCUACCGUAUGUAGCCUAUGACCUGUGUGUCAUGUCUGGACAAGUACACUGUGAACAUUACAUUGACUUGAAGGUGUACAAGCUGAAGUACCACAUGCUCGUUCCAAAAGUUGUUCUCGUAGGGCUGGAUGAAGAUGGAUGUAAUCCAUUGCCCGGGGAAACUGAAGACCCUAAAAGCUUUACCAUUGCCAGCGAACGCUGCAAGAAAUGUAUCAGGACUAUGCUCAAGGGCCUUGUUAUCAAUGAAGCGUUGCAAAUCUGUUUUGAGGAUUUCACUGAAGAUAAUAUUGUACUUACUGAAACAGGAAAAGUGAAAUUCAAGAAUGUCACCAUUAUCAGUUGUCUUCGCAGAGGUCCAGAAUUCAAGAGGCGUCUCCAUAGAAACUUCAAGUGUGCUGCUAACAUUAUUCGAGAUCUCUUCAAGCUUAUUACUCCAACUGGUAUACAGUACAACAUUCCUGAAGAUAUCUUGCACCUGCUCAAUGUAAUUGAGAGGGAAUUCGAGUCCAGGUCAAUGUUUCCAGUUCAUGCCUCGUUGGUUCCUUUGACGCAGUGCUCAUUUUUCUUCCAAAAGAUGUAUGAGACCAUCAGAUCUGUGUUAUCAUUUGAGGAGUUCAGAGCAAUUCUGGAUAAAUUACCAUAUGUGGAUGGCUGGAAGAAAAAAGUUAUGAACAAUGCCUUGCUCAGUUACCCUAUCAAUAGAAGACCUGAGAGUUAUGAGGUACCACAAAACAAACCAGAUCAGCGGAACCUGAAUAAAUACCAGAAAGGUUGCUUAAAUGAUUUGGGGAUCAAUCCACCUAGGAACCAAAGUGUGUUGAGUAAUGAGCAGGAAGAGAUGAUCAAACAACUGAGGCUGAUCGAUUAUUGGAGAAAUCGAACUGUACACAGAAUGGAGCCGUACAGGUCUUAUACCAAGGAGAGCACCGAGGAGGGCGAGGAUGCACCACGCAAUGCGCCUUACAAGGCGGAGGGCUCUGAACUCGUCAACUAUGUGAGGUUUCCAAUGGCACCAACUUACCUUCAGUGGGAGCUGAUAAAGAGGCGGGAAGCUGAUGGUCAUGUUGUUUGGGAAAGCUUUUUCUAGGCUUAAUUCUGUCAUCAGUAGAUCACACGUAAUGCUCUACUUGUGCCCCAGUUGGCACCAACUUACCUUCAGUGGGAGCUGAUAAAGAGGCGGGAACCUGAUGGUCAUGUUGUUUGGGAAAGCUUUUUCUAGGCUUAAUUCUGUCAUCAGUAGAUCACACGUAAUGCUCUACUUGUGCCCCAGUUAUCUUGUAGUACUGUUUAACUUCUGACAAAAAAAUUGGUUUCCUUGUGGAGCUGCUUUCAGAUGGCAUGAGCAACAAGCGCUGCUUGCUAGGCAUAAAACACGUCUCAGUACUGUCAUUCAUUCUUGUCCAUAAAUAUUAACCUGCUCAAGUGGUUUCCCAUUCUGCA